rnacentral:lncRNA from 1 species
UUCUCCUCCUCCUCCUUCUCCUUCUCCUUCUCCUCCUCCUCCUCCUCCUCCUCCUCCUUCUUCUUCUUCUUUUUCUUCUCCUUCUUCUUCUCUUCUUCCUUCUUCUCUUUCUUCUUCUCCGUAGCUUAUUUUCCCCAACAAAGACAUACUUAGCUAAUUAUCCUCCAAAAUGACAUAAUUAGCUUAGUUAGAUUCAAAAUGGUCUAUUUAAUAAAAAAUGACCUAUACUUAGGUAAUUAUCCUCCAAAAUGACAUGAAUAGCUCCAAAAAGGCAUAAUUAGCGAAGAAGAGGACAAGAGGAGAAGAAAGAGGAAAAAUG